UACAGAGGGGGCAAGCGUUGUUCGGAAUUACUGGGCGUAAAGGGCGCGUAGGCGGCCUGCUAAGUCGAACGUGAAAUCCCUGGGCUCAACCCAGGAACUGCGUCCGAUACUGGUUGGCUUGAAUCCGGGAGAGGGAUGUGGAAUUCCAGGUGUAGCGGUGAAAUGCGCAGAUAUCAGGAGGAACACCAAUGGCGAAGGCAGCUCGCUGGGACGUGACUGACGCUGAGACGCGAAAGCGUGGGGAGCAAACAGG
rnacentral:rRNA from 1 species